rnacentral:rRNA from 1 species
AGGGUUUGAUCCUGGGCUCAGGAUAAACGCUGGCGGCGUGCCUAAUGCAUGCAAGUCGAACGGGAGCCGCAUCAUGCGGUCGACCGUGGCGGACGGGUGAGGAACACGUAGCUAACCUGCCCUGCUCUGGGGGAUAGCCACCGGAAACGGUGUGUAAUACCGCAUGAGGUCGAUCGUGGGGACACGGUCGAUCAAAGGAUGAGAGUCCGGAGUGGGAGGGGGCUGCGGCCGAUUAGCUAGCUGGUGGGGUAAUGGCUUACCAGGGCGAUGAUCGGUAGCUGGUCUGAGAGGACGAUCAGCCACACGGGGACUGAGACACGGCCCCGACUCCUACGGGAGGCAGCAGCAAGGAAUUUUCCACAAUGGGCGCAAGCCUGAUGGAGCAACGCCGCGUGGGGGAUGACGCACUUCGGUGUGUAAACUCCUUUUCGUGGGGACGAAGACAAUGACGGUACCCACGGAAGAAGGACCGGCUAACUACGUGCCAGCAGCCGCGGUAAGACGUAGGGUCCGAGCGUUGUCCGGAGUUACUGGGCGUAAAGCGCGCGCAGGCGGUCGUCCACAUCGGCGGUGAAAAGCCCCGCGCUUAACGCGGGAGGGUCCGUCNAGAUGGGGGGACUGGAGGCAGGGAGAGGCNAGUGGAAUUCCGGUGUAGUGGUGAAUGC